ACUCCAUUUUGAGAGAAGGACAGAAGGAAACAACAUGACGCUCCUAUUUCCUCUCGUCUGGCUCUCCUGCAGCGCCCACAGACACCACCAGGAAGCUUAAGAAACCCAAGACCUUCUACUAACUCACAGUGGCGAUGGAGGUCAAGAUAGAAGCAGGGAAGAGGAGAAAAGAGGCGAAAUGUGAGAAGAUGAGCUACAUAAAGAAAAGUGAAUAUUUCCUGAACCAACGGGUGUGUGCUGGGCAACGGAGAUGUCAGACACCCGCCCACCUACAGCCAGUCUACAGCAUCCUUACUUGCUUGGCCAGGGAUCCAGCCACUGCCGGGAGGGAUCCAGCUUAAGGGGAUGGAAUAGUUUAGGAAUCACUGUUCCUAUUUUCUUUUUUGUUUGUGUUUCAAAGAAGGACAGGAAAGUACAGGUGUUUGAUAAGACACUAAUCUUAAAACUCAACAUGGAACUAAACAAUA